CGCCAGACUCCUACGGGAGGCAGCAGUGGGGGAUAUUGCACAAUGGGGGGAACCCUGAUGCAGCGACGCCGCGUGGGUGAAGGAGUAUUUCGGUAUGUAAAGCCCUAUCGGCAGGGAAGAAGCAAGACGGUACCUGACUAAGAAGCCCCGGCUAACUACGUGCCAGCAGCCGCGGUAAUACGUAGGGGGCGAGCGUUAUCCGGAUUCACUGGGUGUAAAGGGAGCGUAGACGGUUCUGCAAGUCUGAAGUGAAGGCCCGUGGCUUAACCGCGGAACGGCUUUGGAAACUGUGGAACUGGAGUGCUGGAGAGGCAAGCGGAAUUCCUAGUGUAGCGGUGAAAUGCGUAGAUAUUAGGAGGAACACCAGUGGCGAAGGCGGCUUGCUGGACAGUAACUGACGUUGAGGCUCGAAAGCGUGGGGAGCAAACAGGAUUAGAUACCCCAGUA
rnacentral:rRNA from 1 species